AUACGUAGGUGGCAAGCGUUGUCCGGAUUUACUGGGUGUAGAGGGCGUGUAGGCGGAGAUGCAAGUCAGGAGUGAAAUCUAGGGGCUCAACCCCUAAACUGCUUUUGAAACUGUAUCCCUUGAGUAUCGGAGAGGCAGGCGGAAUUCCUAGUGUAGCGGUGAAAUGCGUAGAUAUUAGGAGGAACACCAGUGGCGAAGGCGGCCUGCUGGACGACAACUGACGCUGAGGCGCGAAAGCGUGGGGAGCAAACAGGAUUAGAUACCCUGGUAGUCCACGUUGUAAACGAUGAAUACUAGGUGUGGGGGGACUGACCCCCUCCGUGCCGCAGUUAACACAAUAAGUAUUCCACCUGGGGAGUACGAUCGCAAGAUUGAAACUCAAAUGAAUUGACGGGG
rnacentral:rRNA from 1 species